UGGCUCAGGAUGAACGCUGGCGGUAUGCUUAACACAUGCAAGUCGAACGGAUGUUUUCGGACAUUAGUGGCGGACGGGUGAGUAACGCGUGAGAAUCUAGCUUCAGGUUGGGGACAACAGUUGGAAACGACUGCUAAUACCGAAUAUGCCGAGAGGUGAAAGAUUAAUUGCCUGAAGAAGAGCUCGCGUCUGAUUAGCUAGUUGGUGGGGUAAGAGCUUACCAAGGCGACGAUCGGUAGCUGGUCUGAGAGGACGAUCAGCCACACUGGGACUGAGACACGGCCCAGACUCCUACGGGAGGCAGCAGUGGGGAAUUUUCCGCAAUGGGCGAAAGCCUGACGGAGCAAUACCGCGUGAGGGAAGAAGGCUCUUGGGUUGUAAACCUCUUUUCUUAGGGAAGAAAAAAAUGACGGUACCUAAGGAAUAAGCAUCGGCUAACUCCGUGCCAGCAGCCGCGGUAAUACGGAGGAUGCAAGCGUUAUCCGGAAUGAUUGGGCGUAAAGCGUCCGCAGGUGGUUUAUCAAGUUUGCGGUUAAAGGUUCUGGCUCAACCAGAGACAGGCCGUGAAAACUGAUAGACUAGAGUAUGGUAGGGGCAGAGGGAAUUCCCAGUGUAGCGGUGAAAUGCGUAGAGAUUGGGAAGAACACCGGUGGCGAAAGCGCUCUGCUAGGCCAAAACUGACACUGAGGGACGAAAGCUAGGGGAGCGAAUGGGAUUAGAUACCCCAGUAGUCCUAGCCGUAAACGA
rnacentral:rRNA from 1 species